rnacentral:rRNA from 1 species
UACGAAGGGUGCAAACGUUGCUCGGAAUUAUUGGGCGUAAAGCGCGCGUAGGCGGCUUGGCAAGUCGGAUGUGAAAUCCCUCGGCUCAACCAAGGAAGUGCAUCCGAAACUGCCGAGCUUGAGUACUUAAGAGGAUCGCGGAAUUCCCGGUGUAGAGGUGAAAUUCGUAGAUAUCGGGAGGAACACCAGAGGCGAAAGCGGCGCGCUGGGCUGCAACUGACGCUGAAGUGCGAAAGCCAGGGGAGCGAACGGG